CCUACGGGAGGCAGCAGUGAGGAAUAUUGGUCAAUGGGCGUGAGCCUGAACCAGCCAAGUCGCGUGAGGGAGGACGGCCCUACGGGUUGUAAACCUCUUUUGCCGUGGAGCAACGGGCGUCACGUGUGGCGCCACUGAGAGUACCCGGAGAACAAGCAUCGGCUAACUCCGUGCCAGCAGUCGCGGUAAUACGGAGGAUGCGAGAGUUAUCCGGAUUUAUUGGGUUUAACGGGUGCGUAGGCGGAUCGUUAAGUCAGUGGUCAAAUUGAGGGGCUCAACCCCUUCCCGCCAUUGAAACUGGCGAUCUUGAGUGGAAGAGAAGUAUGCGGAAUGCGUGGUGUAGCGGUGAAAUGCAUAGAUAUCACGCAGAACCCCGAUUGCGAAGGCAGCAUGCCGGCUUCCGACUGACGCUGAAGCACGAAAGCGUGGGGAUCGAACAGGAUUAGAUACCCGAGUAGUC
rnacentral:rRNA from 1 species